rnacentral:lncRNA from 1 species
CUUUUCCCAUAACUCAAAAUAAAUACCUAAACAUAUAUAUUCUUAAGCAAGAAGUAUGGAGACACAUUUUAGAAUAUGUAAAUGGGUUACUCAAUGCUAGGAAAAAAUCAGAUUGAGUUAUCUUUCUUUAUUCGGGUGUGCUCCUUCUUUGGAGGAUUAUAAACAGUACGUAAAUAUGAUCACAAUAUGGCGGCCGAUUUUGUUAUUUUCGUAUCAAAAAUGAAGGCAGUCAAUGACAAAUACGUCUGAAUUUUCUGUUUAUUUUACAGAAAACAAGUAAAACAAUGUCUUCAACGAGUUUAUAAUGGUUUUCCAACUUUCUG